GGCACUGUGGUGUAGUUGGUUAUCACGUUUCCUUUACAUAUCGAACUUUGUGAGCGGAAAAGGUCAAGGGUUCGAGCCCCUUCGGAGUCA
rfam:Cryptococcus dejecticola CBS 10117 unplaced genomic scaffold supercont1.1, whole genome shotgun sequence.